rnacentral:rRNA from 1 species
AACGCGAAGAACCUUACCUGGCCUUUACACAUCUGGAAUCCUGCAGAGAAGCGGGAGUGCUUUCGGGAGUCAGAAGACAGGUGGUGCAUGGCGGUGGUCAGCUCGUGUCGUGAGAUGUUGGGUUAAGUCUCGCAACGAGCGCAACCCCUUUCCUUUGUUUCCAGCACGUAAAGGUGGGCACUCUAAGGAGACUGCCGGUGAUAAACCGGAGGAAGGUGGGGAUGACGUCAAGUCAUCAUGGCCCUUAUGUCCAGGGCUACACACGUGCUACAAUGGUGGGUACAGAGGGUUGCCAAGCAGCGAUGGUGAGCGAAUCCCAAAAAACCGGUCCUAGUCCGGAUUGCAGUCUGCAACUCGCCUCCGUGAAGUCGGAAUCGCUAGUAAUCGCC